GGGGAUUUUAUCACUUCCACCUUGCUAAACACAUUUCUAUCUGCCUCAGUAGGACAGGUCAGAUCUGCUCCACUGCAUUGGAAGCAUUGGUUACCCAGGCGUCUGUAUGGUCUGCAUCUGUAGUUAAGUGUAUUAGUCAACUAUAGUUAAAACAUCACUGAGGCUCUGACUUAAGUCAGUACCACAAACAAAUACAUUAUUUUCAGUGUGUGCCAUUAAGGAUACCAUACAUGUUUUAUGUUGACAGUUUCUUUAAAGAUAUUUUGCCUUGCUCAGAGCUUCAGAAUCAACUUUGUUGAAAACUUCACAUAGUUACUUAGCAGCAGGGUUUUCUUUUCACUUUGCAUCUGUGCUUUGUAUAUUGACUGAACUCCACCCAUUUCCACAAUGAAGUGUAGGUCACUGCUUUUUUUUUUUCUUUUUCCUUAAGCAGCUGUCCUCCUGGCAGUCAUUGUGGUGAACUUUUUCCUGGUUUAGUUCAGUCCCUGUAAAGGACUGAGCCAAGAACUUUGUCAUAUAGACCCAUUAGUAAUCAUCUGUUUCUCAGGCUAAUGGACUCAGUCUUCUGUCAUGUGCUUUGACUGGAAACUCCCAAAGCCACGCCUGAAGGUUCAGCUCCAUGUAACAUCUGUUCUGGGAUGGUGCUGCAACUGCUGUCCUAAACUGCUCUUGUAUGUGAUGUUAAACAGCUGCUCAAUUUCACCCUAGAGGCUUGCAUGGACAGAUACAUCCGCAGAAUGAACCAGACAGGGCAAAAAAAAAUCGUUAAUUUGAUACUUAAAGAAAUUUUUUUUAAAUUGCAAAAAAAUAUAAUUUACCCAAUAUGCACAUGAGUGAACUCAGCUAUACUGGGUCAUUUAUUGUCACACUUCAUAAGAUCUUUUGAAUUGUAAUUGGGUGCUCCUAGUCUUGCUCCACAGUAAGUGGCCCUUUUAGAGCCAUGAUAAAUUCUACUAAGCAUUCUCUCCCUCUAGAGGAAUAUUUCUCUAUAUUCACUUCACAUAACAUGGCCUCUUUCCUGAUUACAAACAUAAUUCAAGUCAAACCAGUUUGGUAGUGAGUCUUCUUUAAACAAACUUUCUUUUUAUUUCCCUGGUCUUAAAGUCUGUUCACUGUCUCUUUAUUUUCUUUGCUCUUUUGUAUGUAGCUAAGAUUUAUAAGGACUGUUGUCACACAUUAUACAUUUUCUUACAUCAAACUUCUUAGUCUCAAGAUCUUGGAACACAGAAUUUACAAUGACCAUAAAAUAUAACCCCCCAAAAAUACAGCCCACCUUUGCAAAUGUUCUGAGUUUGACGCAGAAAACUAGUGGAAUUAAAGGCUUUUACCAUUACUCUCCAUGCACAAAACCAGCUCCUGCCUACCAUUAAAAUGUGAGAGGAGUUUACAUCAGCUCUCUUUUUGGAAGUCAGAGGAAAUUCUCACCACUGUAAGAGUCUUCGUCUGUACUUUUAUAGUGAGCCAAACUGGCUUGAGAUCACAAAAACUUUCAUCUUCAGGAGUAUCCAAGCACAGCUCUCCCAUACUUAUGCUUAGACCCAUGUCUAAGAGAGCUGCACUUCUUCAGAAAGCAUAAUGGAAUAUUCUAAACAAAAUGUGAAAACCUGUUCUACGUAAACCUAAUUAACCAUUUUCAGAUGAAUAAACAGUAGUUUUACAGCCCUUCCUAUGAAAACUUAUAAUAUCAUAAUUAAUUCCAUGUUUAAUAUAAAAAUGACUGUUUUAUGGAGUUGCUUUGAGGGCUACAUAGCAAAAUAUACCACAUGCAGUUUUCCUACUCCGUAUGCUACAAGAUUUGCAUGGGAAUGACAUCACACUAAAUAAGAGGACAGGUCAUCUAUCAUCUGGACAAUGUGUGCUAAAUAAUGAUGAACACAGUACACUGCAUAUAAUUUCCUCUUUCACAUCCACACCCCCAAAGCUUCUUUUUGUUCACAUUUUCCCUAAUUGGUCGUCUCAGCCUGAAGCAUCACCUUUUCAGCCUGUGAAAGGUAAGAAAGUGAAAAUCAGAACAUGGUUUUCUUAGGAUGUCUUCCAAGUUCAUGUUACUUGUGUGAGGUAUGUUUCCCACUGUUACUUGCAUGCUGGAUGAGAUCUUAAUUGAUCUCUUGUUCUUUCUUUUCUGGGCAGAAUGAAGUCUUUGAAGAUGAAUACUGGCUCAUAAGCUAAAUGCUUUCAGCUGUUGCUGCUGAACAUAACAAUUCCUAAGAAGAUUUUUGUCAGUUGCUUGGAGAUUUCCCUGUUUUUAUGGAGAAGGUUGUAGUUUAACCCUUUAACUUUUACUGGAAAACAUUAAAAGUUGCACCAUAUGUCUACUGUAGAAGUUUAACAGCUGGAGAACGGAUGGAUGCUUUAGGAGGACAAAGUAGCUAGAUAUGUGAACACAUGGUCAGAUGUAUAAUUUAGUAUGGUGUCUUUUUUAGGAGAUUAUAUUUGUUUAUCUAAUUGGUUUGCCCUUUACUUACAAACUGCAAAUGAACAAACAUAAACAAAUAUUACUGUGUGCAUAUAUGCAUAUAUAUAUUUAUAUAUAUUGUAGCUAGGUUGCAGGACAAGACCAACAUGUAGCAUGCUGACACAACACAAGGAAAUAUCUCUUUUUCACAGAAAGCCAUUUCAAGCCUUUUCUUUCCUUUUCUCCUUUGCACAGAAAAGUGACAUGCUACACGGUGCAGCUGGCAGAUUGUCUUGGCUUGAUAGUGCAUAAUCAGAGCCUUGUGAAAUGGUGUAGUUGGAAAUCUCCCAGUAAAUAAAAUACACUGAAUGAAAAGCAUACGCACAGUGGAGUGAGAAGAAAUACAUUUGGGAGUUAGGCACGUCUGGGCUGAAAUCCUGCCAUAGCAGAGCUCUGUUUUUCACUUUUUGCAGAGAAUCAAGGCGUAGCAUUCUCAAUCUCUGUAUUAACAGAGGCUUUCUUUAAGGGAUACUUUUAGUAUGGGCAAUACUUCAAGUUAACAGAUAGCUUCCUGUGUAUCUAAUUCACUAUUCUAUCACCAUUGUGCCUUCCACCCUUCUGCCACACUUCUUGAACCACACAACUGACCAUUGGCCUCUACUGCUCAGCAGAAGACCCAGACUAAUUCAAUUAGAUAAUUUCAAUUACUUAUCCAUCUUUUCUAUCUGUCUCCCAAACUUUCAACAAAUGCCUCCCCCCAAAACAUACAUACACACACACACUUAAUAUAUUCCACUAAUCCUCUUCACAAAUAUACAG